rnacentral:rRNA from 1 species
GAUGAACGCUGGCGGCGUGCCUAAUACAUGCAAGUCGAGCGAACAGACUAGGAGCUUGCUCCUCUGACGUUAGCGGCGGACGGGUGAGUAACACGUGGAUAACCUACCUAUAAGACUGGGAUAACUUCUGGAAACCGGUGCUAAUACCGCAUAAUAUCUUUAACCGCAUGGUUCAAUAUUGAAAGACGCUUUUGCUUUAACUUAUAGAUGGAUCCGCUGCGCAUUAGCUAGUUGGUAAGGUAACGGCUUACCAAGGCAACGAUCCGUAGCCGACCUGAGAGGGUGAUCGGCCACACGGGAACUGAGAAACGGCCAAGACUCCUACGGGAGGAAGAAGUGGGGAAUAUUGGGAAAGGGGCGAAAGCCUGACGGAGAAACGCCGCGUGGGGGAGGAAGGUCUUCGGAUCGUAAAACUCUGUUAUUAGGGAAGAACAAAUGUGGAAGUAAAUAUGCACGUAGUGACGGUACCUAAUCAGAAAGCGACGGCUAACUACGUG